AUUGAACGCUGGCGGCAUGCCUUACACAUGCAAGUCGAACGGUAACAGGGAGCUUGCUCCGCUGACGAGUGGCGAACGGGUGAGUAAUGCGUCGGAACGUGCCGAGUAGUGGGGGAUAACGCAGCGAAAGUUGUGCUAAUACCGCAUACGUACUGAGGUAGAAAGUGGGGGACCUUCGGGCCUCACGCUAUUCGGGCGGCCGACGUCUGAUUAGCUAGUAGGUGAGGUAAAGGCUCACCUAGGCGACGAUCAGUAGCGGGUCUGAGAGGAUGGUCCGCCACACUGGGACUGCGACACGGCCCAGACUCCUACGGGAGGCAGCAGUGGGGAAUUUUGGACAAUGGGCGAAAGCCUGAUCCAGCCAUGCCGCGUGUCUGAAGAAGGCCUUCGGGUUGUAAAGGACUUUUGUCGGGGAGGAAAUCCCCAGCGCUAAUACCGCUGGGGGAUGACAGUACCUGAAGAAUAAGCACCGGCUAACUACGUGCCAGCCGCCGCCGUAAGAC
rnacentral:rRNA from 1 species